rnacentral:misc_RNA from 1 species
UCCAGCUUAUCACCGGCGGUUUCUUUAGAGUGCUCGGCCGAACCGUUAGCAACUAAAGACGAGGGUUGCGCUCGUUGCGGGACUUAACCCAACAUCUCACGACACGAGCUGACGACAGCCAUGCAGCACCUGUGUGGUACCCACCCGAAGUGAAGAGCUCAGAUUCCCAAGCUCAUAGUACCCAUGUCAAGGUCUGGUAAGGUUUUUCGCGUUGCGUCGAAUUAAACCACAUGCUCCACCGCUUGUGCGGGUCCCCGUCAAUUCCUUUGAGUUUUAAUCUUGCGACCGUACUCCUCAGGCGGAGUGCUUAACGCGUUAGCUUCAACACCGAUGGUUACCCACCGACAUUUAGCACUCAUCGUUUAGGGCGUGGACUAC